ensembl:piRNA 21ur-6747 ncRNA
UGGUAAACAUUUUUGAAUCCA